AAACUAAAUUUUUUGAAAACUUAAGAGAAAUGGAAGGUUUGAUACUGUUUAUUUCUUUCUUCAGAACGCACACUGAAGCUGCUCCUUUGGCAAAUGUCCACGCCAUCACCCUGGGUCUUGGAGCAUGCUGUUUCUCCGUUCUCUGUGCUGUGCAGGUAGGGUGGUCAAGCAAUUCUGGACUUGCAAUCCGCAUGCAGUAGGGGAGCAGGAGCAGAUCCUGACUGUUUCUUUUCUUUCAGCUGCGGAUAAAGCCUGCUCUCUAGUGGAUUGACUCCACUAGAAAGUGGAGGAAAGAAAGUGUAAUCUGUGUAUUGAUUUGCAGAAUGCAAAGAUGGGCUUUCCAGUAAUCCUGUGUUCUGGUCUACCUCCGCCUCUUGAGGACCAUCCAGAUGGCAAAGCCUAGCAGGCACUGAGCACUUUCUGAAGUCUUACUCCCACCCUGGCCCCCAGCUCCACAGGGCAGCUCAGAGAUUUUGGCUGUUCUGGAGUCCUGGGCUGUGUGCUGGGCACUGAUUAGAGGUAGGUAUCGGUCCACGUUUGCACACAAAAAGACAGUUUUCCACUGAUUACUCUGUUAAGGAGUCUCAGGAGUGUAGUUCGUUCUAGCAGAAAUGUUACACAUAAUAGACUGGUCCUUUGGCUAUUCUAGUUAUGAAUGGCUCCUCUCAAGUUCAUGGAGUCUGUCUGAUAAAAAACAGAUGAGGAUCUGGUCCACCGUCCUCAUAGAAACAUACCCCUGAUUAGAGCCAGGCGUAUCACUCAUGCUAAAAUAUUUGUUUGACACUUGCAAUUUGCUUGUUACAGAGUUUGAAGUCUCCUCCUGGCAAAUUUCCAAAUGGUGGUAGCAAGGCUGCCUCUAACAGGGUCCAGUUCAAAGCCGGGAACAUCACCAUAACCUUUUCUAUUGACUCACAAGGUUCUGGAAGGGCUUCCAGGCCCCUUGCUCAUGGCAGGGGUCAUGUCCACACUAAACGCUCUGUGGAACUACAGAAAACCUCGAAGUUGUGCUGCUGACAACAGCUACCACGGUCACUGCGGGGAGCCAGGAAUUCAAGGAGCAAAGUCCAUGUAAUCUGCUUGUAUCUGGCUCAACACAAUUUCCAGUUGCUUUAUGCAAAACCAGUCAUUGUUUGCAAUUCAUCAACUACAAAAACAGGAUGGAGAGGCACAGGCAGAAUGAAACGGUUUCCAUCUGCAUGAAAAGGUUGAUUUUUGACAGAUUUCUCCUUUGGACACUAUUUAAAGGAGAGCAGUGGAUACUCCCUGCGUUCCUGCAUACUACAUUUGCACGCUGUCUGCUUCCAAAAGAAUCAAGCUGAAAACAGCACAGACAGACCCAGCUUGAGCUUUGCUGUGCUCAGUCUUGAAGUGGUCCCGAGUAACACAUGAGCCUUUGAAUGGAUUGAGAUGGUGCUACUCAUGCUUCUGCUUUUGUGAUGCGCACCAGCAGAGAUCAUUUUCUCCUCUAAAACACCUUGAUUGCUAUAACAAAGAGUGGAACAAACUGGAUCAAGAGUUUGAGCAUUCAAGAGAGGAUUUCCAGAGGGUAACAUGACGUUCAGUACCAGUGAGUUGGAAAGGCAUGUGUAUGUUUGCAGGUCUUUUAUCUUACAUGGUUUCCCUCCCGUACACCUUCAGCUAUCUCUGUACCUUAAGAAACAAACAAACAAAAACAUAAAACAGAUUGAUUGUUUACUUGUUUGUUUCAUUGUGAGAUAGAACUUGCAUGUGCAAAUACAACUUGUAGGUAUUUUCCUAUGUCAAAAAAACAUUCACACGCAGGAGCUGAAGACACAAUGCAACAGCCUUGUAUACAACUCAUUGUGAGUGAAUUUAUUGGGUUUCCACUGCAGAUGGUGAGAGUUUUGCAUGUGCAUGUGAGUAACAAAUAAAGUAAAAUAAAAUAAUAAAAAUUCA
ensembl:lncRNA